CCAGAGCUCUCUCCCCUGCCAUGCGAGGACAUGAUGAAAAGACAGCCAUCUGCAAGCCAGGAGAAGAGCCAUCACUGGAAACCAAAUCUGCUAACGCCUUGAUCUUGGACUUCCCAGCCUCCAGAACCGUUGCAAGGGUAAUUCUUUGGGCCUGAGAGGAGGACUCAUUGAGUGACAUGACCCAUACUUCUAAACCCUGGCUCUCAGUCUUGGAAUUAAGCACGUGGCUCUUUUGUCGGAGUGAGUUCUUUCGCACGAAGCUCCUCCAUUCCUUAUAUAAAUGGAUGCACAAGACCUUCAGGCUGGGAAGAUGCCUUAGUCAUGCUUCUCUGGAGAGACAGAACCAACAGGAUGUAUCAUGUGAUAAUGGAAGCUGAGAAGUCACAUGAUAGGCAGGCCGUCUGCAAGCCGGAGGACCAAGGAAACCGGUAGCAGCAUGCGGUGGCCGGCUGUCGCCUUCUCGCUGGCAUUGUCACGCUUCAUUAGGAUUGCUUUUGUUGCUACGCGGAGGUUUCCACUGUUGCUAGCUGUUGGCUCCUCGCGUGAGCAAAGAGGGAUUGUUCAAUGUUUCCCCGUAACAAGCCGGGAGAGGCUGCUGAGUCGCUUCUGGUUUUGAGGAGAAGAACCAGAGACAGACAGACAGACACAGAGACACACAGAAAGUGCGGGAGACGGAGGCAGAGAGAGAAAGAGAGGGACGGGGACACACAGAGACGUAAGGAGAAAGGCAGCCGGGCAAAGACACAGAAACAGACCUAAAGCGACAAAGAGAUUUGAGAACAGAU